GUCAGACAAAAGGUCUGAAAAUUCACAGAGAAACUCACAGUAAAGGUUCUGGAGGCAUAUCCAUGUUUCAAGGAGCUACACAAUGUAUGUGAUUUAUUUGUUACCAUAACUUCCACAAAGCAAGCAUUAUUGCUGUAUUAACAUGUACUUGCACCUUAGGUGAUGGAUGAGCUGCGCCGGAUUCUGGAUAAAGGCAACAGCACAUUCGUGACUGAGGUCAAGAAGAGAUGGGAUGAUUUCUGUUCAGUGGUGCAGUUUUAUGGUGUUUGGAAGAAAGUGCUGAAGCCACGCAUGAACAUGGGUGGAGAGGAAUACACCAUCUCUCUCUUCAGAGCACUCCCCACACUCUACACCACCAAAGAAGCUUGGACAUGCCAGUGAGGCAUGACUUCAUAUCCUUUAGCCAACAGAAGAUCCUGCGGUUUACCUCCAGAAAAGACCUCUCUUCAGUCCUGUGUUGCUUUUUGACGGGUCCUGUUGUCUUGUGGCCGUUGGAACCACACCCAAAGUCACGGUGCAGCAACGAGAAGGCAAUCCUCCACAGGGACCUGCGGGGAAUAAAGUAGAUCCAGGAGAUUGGAUCUGGUUGAAGGUAAUUGUGGGACCUGACUGUUGUACAUUCAUUCCAGACAAUUCAGGUGACAGUGGUGUCAUUGCUCAAACCAAAGCUAAUCUAACUCGAAUUCGGGAUGCAAUUGAAAAGGGAUAUGUGCAAGAUGAAGGGGGAUUUUUUAACUGGUUAUUUUCAGGAGGUUGAAGACAAUGGAUGAUCAAGAUGGCUAUGAUAUUUCUGUUUGUGUUCUUAGUAAUGACAAUGAUUGCA